GGGGCUCAUCUUAAACUGCAGUCAGCCACGUCAGCUCUUGUGAUAAGCUGACCGUUCUCUCUGGAGAACCUGGGGUCCCCGCCAGUCACCACACUGGCGUGGGCCCAAAUCCAUCUCUUGGGCUCUUUUGAAGCACAGCCUGUUUUUGAGCCGAGGGUUAGGGAGAUGGCGUCUGGAGGUGGGACCCACCGCCCAGAGCCAGGGAGAGGAGGAGCCCCCCUCCCUGAGCCGGGGCUCCCUGUGCAGCCUUUUCCAGUGAGAUGUUUUAAGCAGUGCCAUGUUCCUCGUUUGAUCAGAAGACAGUCUAUAAAGUAUUGCCCUUAAAAAUAAUUAAAAUGAACCCUUUCAUGUUGGCACCAUUGCCUUAGUCCUCUGUGCGUCAGGCCGGAGUUCUAGUGGGAGCAACUGGCACUAAUGAGACUGGAAAAUUGGGGGGGGGGUCAAGGUAAAAUUUCUUUUUGCUUUCGUUCACAAACUAGUGAAGCCAGCUGCCAAUCACAUCCUCCCAGCAGCACUUUGGUCAGCAGACUGCCUUGAAUUCAGAAGAAAAGUAUUCAGGGGUAACCAGGUCUCCCCACAUUCUGAGAGUUCCAAACCCAGUAAUUCACAUGCCAGUGAAAAUAGAAACAGCCCCUUGCUAGGCAUGACCACAGAAAAUGACAGUUAUGUGGCAGGGUCUGCACACGCCAUACACCUUGAUUUGGAAAACUAGUCAUUAAAUGAACCCACUGCCUUAAAUGUCUUGAAUGUUGCAGUCAAGUGUCUGUCAUGUGUUGACGUCCACACAGAAAUCCGUCUUGUUGAGAGCCUUAGACCCUCACCCAUGGCCCCUUCUUGGAGAUGCUGGUGUCUGGGUUGUCAUGGGUUUCUGUUGGACUUUUGAAUGUGAUAAACAAUCUAGUAUCACUUGGGAAAUACUACGUGUAGAAUGUGCACGUUUCCAGGGGCGAGCAUUGUCGGUCAAGAGAUUUGCAAUGAUUUCCUUCCUGCCAAAAAUAAAUACGUGAAACUGCGCCCUCUUGUGGGUGGACUGCUUCUU
rnacentral:lncRNA from 1 species